GCCAAGGGCCGUGGCGAUUUGUGAACCGGAUUGCGGGCCACGUUAAACAUACCGCUAAAGAGGUCGAGGCCGCUGAAAG
rfam:Jannaschia sp. CCS1, complete genome.